rnacentral:rRNA from 1 species
UGCCGCCGCGAGGGGAUGGGGCUGCGUCCUAUUAGCUAGUUGGUGAGGUAACGGCUCACCAAGGCUUCGAUGGGUAGCUGGUCUGAGAGGACGGCCAGCCACAUUGGGACUGAGAUACGGCCCAGACUCCUACGGGAGGCAGCAGUGGGGAAUCUUGGCCAAUGGACGAAAGUCUGAGCCAGCGACACCGCGUGGGGGAUGACGGCCUUCGGGUUGUAAACCCCUUUUCUGGGGAAAGAAUAAGGACGGGAGGGAAUGCCCGCCCGAUGACGGUACUCCAGGAAUAAGCAUCGGCUAACUCUGUGCCAGCAGCCGCGGUAAGACAGAGGAUGCGAGCGUUAUCCGGAAUUACUGGGCGUAAAGGGCGUCUAGGCGGUUCGGUAAGUCGUUUGUGAAAUCCCUUGGCUCAACCGAGGAGAGUCUUGCGAUACUGCCGGGCUUGGGUGUAGGAGAGGAGGGUGGAACUCACAGAGUAGCGGUGGAAUGCGUAGAUACUGUGAGGUACCCCGAUGGCGAAGGCAACCCUCUGGCCUACUACCGACGCUGAAGCGCGAAAGCGUGGGGAGCAAAGGGGAUUAGAUACCCCCGUAGUCCACGCCCUAAACAAUGUUCACUUGGUGUCGGCCGCUUAUACUGGUCGGUGCCGAAGCUAACGCGUUAAGUGAACCGCCUGAGGAGUACGGCCGCAAGGCUAAAACUCAAGAGAAUUGACGGGUCCCUGCACAAGCGGUGGAGCACGUGGUUUAAUUCGAUGAUAAACGAAGAACCUCACCCAGGCUUGACAUACUAGUGGUAGAAACCUGAAAGGGGGCCGACCCUGCCUUCGGGUAGGGAGCUAGUACAGGUGAUGCAUGGCUGUCGUCAGCUCGUGUCGUGGGAUGUUGGGUUCAGUCCCGAAACGAGCGCAACCCUUGUCGUUAGUUGCCAGCGGGUAAUGCCGGGGACUCUAACGAGACUGCUGGUGAAUAGCCGGAGGAAGGCGGGGAUGACGUCAAGUCAUCAUGUCCCUUAUGCCUGGGGCGACACACAUGCUACAAUGGGGGGUACAAAGGGUCGCAAUCCCGUAAGGGGGAGCCAAUCCAUAAAAACCCCUCUCAGUUCGGAUUGAGGUCUGCAACUCGACCUCAUGAAGCCGGAAUCGCUAGUAAUCGCGGGUCAGCCAUACCGCGGUGAAUAUGUACUCAGGGAUUGUACACACCGCCCGUCACACCAACCGAGUGGGGGGUACCUGAAGUCGCUCUUCUAAGGGCGCCUAGGGUAACUUCCGCAAGAGGGGUGAAGUCGUAACAAGGUA